UACGUAGGGUGCGAGCGUUAAUCGGAAUUACUGGGCGUAAAGCGUGCGCAGGCGGUUUGCUAAGACAGGUGUGAAAUCCCCGGGCUUAACCUGGGAACUGCGCUUGUAACUGGCGGGCUGGAGUGUGGCAGAGGGGGGUGGAAUUCCACGUGUAGCAGUGAAAUGCGUAGAGAUGUGGAGGAACACCGAUGGCGAAGGCAGCCCCCUGGGCCAACACUGACGCUCAGGCACGAAAGCGUGGGGAGCAAACAGG
rnacentral:rRNA from 1 species